rnacentral:rRNA from 1 species
GGGUUGUGAGGUUAAGCGACUAAGCGUACACGGUGGAUGCCCUGGCAGUCAGAGGCGAUGAAGGACGUGCUAAUCUGCGAUAAGCGUCGGUGAGGUGAUAUGAACCGUUAUAACCGGCGAUUUCCGAAUGGGGAAACCCAGUGUGUUUCGACACACUAUCAUUAACUGA